rnacentral:lncRNA from 1 species
CUUCUUCGCCGCCGCCUCAGGAGCCGCUGACAGGGGAAGCAGGAGGCUCGCGGCCCGGCCCUGGCGGCACACUCACAGCGCCCUCUGAGGAGGAGGUCUGCUCUCUCGCCGCUCCCGAGUCGCAGACACAAAAGCCCCCAGACUGGAGCCGCCUGUAAAACCCGCUCUGGGGCGGGCGAGGGACGUGGCGCGGCCCCGCGGCUUCCCCGCCCUGAGCUCCCCAGCCCCGCGCGGGGACGGGCUUCGGGGGGCGGGGGCCGCUGCCUCGUCCCGCGGCGCCUCCCGCCACCGCCGCCGCCUCGCGCUCCGCCUCGGCCCAGCCCCCACGGCCCGCGCGCGCCUCUUGCUCCAAGCCGGGGCUCGCGGGCCCGCGGCUCUUGCAGCCCGGGUGGGCAGCGCGCGCCUAGGGGCCGCCCCGCCCCGCGCCCGGCGCUCCCUCGCCGACCGCCAGGCCCGAGAACGCCCGACCCCGCGGCCGACGCUACCGGGCCCAGCUUUCGCAAGGAAAGGGCAUCUCCGAACUUCGUCGGAGGCCACAGCAGCAGGCGUCUCGGCCUCGCAGCUAGGGAUCGGAAAGAUGAACGUACCAUGCGAGGAAACUUUGUUUUCUGGUUAUCCACUGGGCUUAUUUUGAUGUAAGAAUCACCGAAAAGCACUCAUGAAGCGUGGGAGGACACAGAACUAGCUACAGACAGGAGUCUCGUCCUUCCGGAGACAGACACCCAACUCAUUCAGCUGCACAGUGUCACAGAGAACAGAUGUUAACAUGAAGCCAAUGUACAGCCUCAACAGCUGCAUACCAGACAAUCGCCACAGCGGCUGAUCGUCGUUAAGACAUAGCGUGGCCGGAGGCAAAUGUUACCCUUUAUCUAAUAAGGGUGGUCUGGAAUUAUGGAAUUCCUGAUUAGAAGAGUCAGACUAGGACAGGCUAAGGAAAAUAUUCUUACAGGAAGCACUCUGAGGAGAAGGUUCCUCCUAACUAGAAUGUAAGCGCCAUGCAGGCAGGAAUUUUGACUGGCUCACUGCUGUAUCCUCUGGUACCUAAUACUGAGUAACACAUAGUAAGUGUUCGGGAAAAUAUUCAUUGAUGUAUGAAUAAAGAGAUUUGAAGUGGCCCUGGGACGACUGGGGUGGCAGGGCUUUGGUAAGUGUAAUAAAGCCGAAGCAAAUGGUAAUAUAAUAAAGCAGAUUGGGGGCCGGGCGCGGUGGCUCACGCCUGUAAUCCCGGCACUUUGGGAGGCCGAGGCAGGCGGAUCAUGAAGUCAGGAGAUCAAGACCAUCCUGGCUAACACGGUGAAACCCCGUCUCUACUAAAAAUACAAAAAAAAAAUUAGCCGGGUGUGGUGGCGGGCGCCUGCAGUCCCAGCUACUCGGGAGGCUGAGGCAGGAGAAUGGCGUGAACCCGAGAGGCGGAGCUUGCAGUGAGCCGAGAUCGCGCCACUGCACUCCAGUCUGGGUGACAGAGUGAGACUCUGUCUCAAAAAAAAAAAAAAAAAAAAAUUAAAAAUAAAGCAGAUUGAAUCUAAUAAUCUAUGUUAUAGGGUGGUUGGAGGAAAAUUUGAAAGCACUUUGGUAAGUCAACAAAGAAAUGAAGGCCAGCUGUGGUGGCUCACGCCUGUAAAUCCCAACACUUUGGGAGGUUGAGGCGGGAGGAUCACUUUAGCCCAGGAAUUUGAGACCAGCCUGGGUAACAAAGCUAGACCCUUCUCUACAAAAUAAUUUUUAAAAAUUAGCCAGGCGUGGUGGCACCGGCCUAUAGUCCCAACUACUCAGGAAACUGAGGCAAGAAGAUCCCUUAAGCCCAGGAGUUCAAGGUUGCAGUGAGCGAUGAUUACACCACUACACUUCAUCCUGGUUAACAGAGCAAGCAAGACCCUGUCCCCCCUCCAGAAAAAUAUGGAAAUGACAUAUUUUCAUUUUAUAACUCUUAGUGGAAGGAGAAUGGUUCAGAAAAAUCAUUGCUAAGAGAUUUUGAGUUCUUUAUUGUAAUUCCCUAAAGCUAGAGACUCAGAAAUAGCAUGAAAAUCAAGAGAAAUGAAUUGGCUUCUUUUUAAUGAUUCAUCAAGAAUAAAAAGACCAUCUUACUUGGGCAUAGUCUUUUAAAUCGAUUUUACUUCCAAAUCUUGAUGGCUUCCUUGCACAUAAUCAGAAUUACCUGGAGAGCAUUCCAAAAUUUCAGAUUCCUAAGUCCCUCCCCAGAUUUACUAGAGUCAGAAUCCCUAGACGUCUGUUUUUAAAGGCUCUCUAGGUGAUUCAAAAGCAAUGAGCAGAUUUGAUGACUUGCAUUUAUCAGCCAUUUGGUAUAAAACAUUGUCACCCAAAGAUUGUAUACAGAGAUUGAGACAAUGGUUCCUGUCCUUAAGAAGUUCACAGUUUAGGGCAGGAAGUAGAGGUUUAAGGUAACAUGAACAAUGCAAAAUGCCAAGCACUGCAAUAGACUUCCGUGUCAGCAGAGGACAGAAACCCUCCACUCAGCUUGGGAGGCAGGUAGCUGAUGAUGUUUUUAGGAGAGCCUUAAAAAGAACAUAUAGGAGGCCGGGCACAGUACCUCAUGCCUGUAAUCCCAGCACUUUGGGAGGCCGAGGUGAGUGAAUCACGAGGUCAGGAGUUCAAGACCAGCCUGGCCAAGACGGUGAAACCCCGUCUCUACUAAAAACACACCAAAAAGCCAGGCAUGGUGGUGGGUGCCUGUAAUCCUAGCUACUCGGGAGGCUGAGGCAGAGAAUUGCUUGAACCCAGGAGGCAGAGGUUGCAGUGAGCCAAGAUUGUGCCACUGCAUUCCAGCCUGGACGACAGAGAGAGACUCUGUCUCAAAAAAAAAAAAAAAAAAAAAAGAACAUGUAGGAGUUGUUACCAGGGGUUGAGGAUAAAGGUUAGGUAAUGAGGAGUUACUGUUUAAUGAGUACAGUAUUUCAGUUUGGGAUAUUGAAAAUUUUCUGGAGAUGGAUAGUGGUAAUAGUUACACAACAAUGUGAAUGUAAUUAAUGCCACUAAAUUGUAUUUGAUGGCUAAAAUGGUAAAUUUUAUGUUAUAUGUAUUUUACCAUAAAAUGGUUGAGGUGAGAACAUGUAGAAAAUAAAAUGGAUUGCAAGGGCAAAUGGAGUCUUGUAAUCAGAGGGAACAGAGUUUCCAAAGGACAAGAAGGGUGAAAACGUAUGAAUCUUUUGGAGACUGUAAGUAGUUAGGACUGGCUGGAGCAUAAGGUACCUUUUGAGAAGUGGCAGGAGCUGAUUUUGAGGAAGUAGACAAGAGGCCAGACCUCUGAAGGGCAUUGCAUGCCACACCAAGAAUGUUUGAUUUUAUCCUGAAAGCAAUGGAGAAACAUUGAUGAGUUUAAGCAGGUGAGUGACAUGUUUAGGUCUGAAUUUUAGAAAGAUCAUUCUGGCUACUAGGUGAAAGAUGGAUUAGAGAGGCACAGAACAUUAGUAUCUUAGUCUAUUUGUGCUGCUAUAACAGAGCACCACAGACUGGGUAAUUUUUAAAGAACAGAAAUGUAUUCCUCACAGUUCUGGAGGGUAAGAACUCUUAAGAUUAAGGUGCUGGCAUCUGGUGAGAGCUGCUCUCUGCUUCCAAGAUGGUGCUUUG